GGCCUCGUAGUGUAGGGUGAGCACUUCGGACUCUGAAUCCGGCGACCCAAGUUCGAAUCUUGGCGAGGCCU
rfam:Schistosoma mansoni strain Puerto Rico chromosome 1, complete genome